UUACCCUACGGGAGGCAGCAGUGGGGAAUAUUGCACAAUGGGGGAAACCCUGAUGCAGCAACGCCGCGUGAGUGAGGAAGUAUUUCGGUAUGUAAAGCUCUAUCAGCAGGGAAUAGAAAAGAAGGUACCUGAAAAAGAAGCCCCGGCUAACUACGUGCCAGCAGCCGCGGUAAUACGUAGGGGGCAAGCGUUAUCCGGAUUUACUGGGUGUAAAGGGAGCGUAGACGGCAUAGCAAGUCUGAAGUGAAAGCCCGUGGCUCAACCGCGGAACUGCUUUGGAAACUGUUAAGCUGGAGUACUGGAGA
rnacentral:rRNA from 1 species